rnacentral:rRNA from 1 species
AUUGAACGCUGGCGGAAUGCUUUACACAUGCAAGUCGAGCGGCAGCGCGGGGCAACCUGGCGGCGAGCGGCGAACGGGUGAGUAAUGCAUCGGAACAUGUCCAUGGAUGGGGGAUAGCCCGGCGAAAGCCGGAUUAAUACCGCAUGAGCCCGAGAGGGGAAAGUGGGGGACCGCAAGGCCUCACGUCGAUGGGUUGGCCGAUGCCCGAUUAGCUAGUUGGUGAGGUAAUGGCUCACCAAGGCGAUGAUCGGUAGCUGGUCUGAGAGGAGGAUCAGCCACACUGGGACUGAGACACGGCCCAGACUCCUACGGGAGGCAGAAGUGGGGAAUUUUGGACAAGGGGGCAACCCUGAUCCAGCCAUUCCGCGUGAGUGAAGAAGGCCUUCGGGUUGUAAAGCUCUUUUGUCCGGAGCGAAACGGGGCGCGUGAAUAUCGCGCUCUACUGACGGUACCGGAAGAAUAAGCACCGGCUAACUACGUGCCAGCAGCCGCCGUAA